GAUGAACGCUGGCGGCGUGCCUAAUACAUGCAAGUCGAGCGAACGGACGAGAAGCUUGCUUCUCUGAUGUUAGCGGCGGACGGGUGAGUAACACGUGGAUAACCUACCUAUAAGACUGGGGUAACUUCGGGAAACCGGAGCUAAUACCGGAUAAUAUUUUGAACCGCAUGGUUCAAAAGUGAAAGACGGUCUUGCUGUCACUUAUAGAUGGAUCCGCGCUGCAUUAGCUAGUUGGUAAGGUAACGGCUUACCAAGGCAACGAUGCAUAGCCGACCUGAGAGGGUGAUCGGCCACACUGGAACUGAGACACGGUCCAGACUCCUACGGGAGGCAGCAGUAGGGAAUCUUCCGCAAUGGGCGAAAGCCUGACGGAGCAACGCCGCGUGAGUGAUGAAGGUCUUCGGAUCGUAAAACUCUGUUAUUAGGGAAGAACAUAUGUGUAAGUAACUGUGCACAUCUUGACGGUACCUAAUCAGAAAGCCCCGGCUAACUACGUG
rnacentral:rRNA from 1 species